rfam:Felis catus breed Abyssinian isolate Cinnamon chromosome C1 unlocalized genomic scaffold C1random_9769, whole genome shotgun sequence.
GCCUGGCUGGCUUAGAAGAGCAUGUGACUCUUGAUCUCAGGAUUGUGAGUUCGAGCCCCACAUUGGGCA